rnacentral:piRNA from 1 species
ACGUUUCGUGGAACCCAGUCAGA